AAAAAAAGCAAAAUUAUAACAUAUGCGAAAGGCGAAUAUAUAUUCAUUUAACUAAUUUAGGCUUUUAAACCUACAUGAGUAUCAUAAAAGCUUCCUUUCAAAGUGUGAACAGUAUCUUUUGCUGGCUCUUAUUCAAUGGUAUAAAUUUGGUUCUAAACUCACCUUUUCAACAUUCUUAUUAAAGCAUUAGCGUAUAACAAUUUUAGGCUUUAGCAUUUCUAGAU
rnacentral:misc_RNA from 1 species